rnacentral:rRNA from 1 species
CCCGCUGAACUUAAGCAUAUCAAUAAGCGGAGGAAAAGAAACUAACAAGGAUUCCCUUAGUAACUGCGAGUGAAGAGGGAAGAGCUCAAAUUUAAAAUCUGGCAGUCUUUUGGGCUGUUCGAGUUGUAAUCUAGAGAAGUGUUUUCUGCACUGGACCAUGUACAAGUCUCUUGGAACGGAGCAUCAUAGAGGGUGACAAUCCUGUCUUUGACAUGGACUCCCAGGGCUUUUUGUGUAGCACUCUCCAAGAGUCGAGUUGUUUGGGAAUGCAGCUCAAAAUGGGUGGUAAAUUCCAUCUAAAGCUAAAUAUUGGCGAGAGACCGAUAGCGAACAAGUACCGUGAGGGAAAGAUGAAAAGAACUUUGAAAAGAGAGUUAAACAGUACGUGAAAUUGUUGAAAGGGAAACAAUUCAAGUCAGUUGCAUUGUCUGGUAAUCAACCUCUGCGAGUUUGCAAGGCUUACUUUCCAGUCGAUGGGUCAGCAUCAAUUUUGACUGUCAGAUAAAGGCUUGAGGAAUGUGGCAUCCUCGGAUGUGUUAUAGCCUCUUGUCACAUGUGAUGGUUGAGACUGAGGAAAUCAGCAUGCCACUCUAUAGUGGUCGAGGCUUUUCUGCCUACGUAUCAUGCUUAGGAUGCUGGCAUAAUGGCUUGAACUGACCCGUCUUGAAACACGG